CUGGGACACAGAGGGGGCUCCGAGACCGGGAUUGAUUCGGGCUGAAAAGUCUUCUGUCUUCUGCCAAGGAAAUAUUUAUCUGACGAAGACAAUGUCAUAUUUCCUCAGUAUAACGCCAAGUGAGACCAGCUGCUUCUAACAAACAGCAGAGCAAUUUUAAGGCAGAGACACCGAGCCACUAGAGCAAACAGUUUGAGGCCUAUUGGGCAUCUUUACAGAAAGCUGAAGACUCAUCAACAGAAAUACUUCAUGUUUGAGAAGGACACCUUGCGUUGAUUGUUUUUGGAGAAAUUUAAGAACAAAACUUACAGACUGUUUAGAUGAAGCUUAUUAUUGCAGCCAUUCAAUUUGCAAAUUACAUACAUGGCAGGAUGACAGAACCUCAUUGCCAAGGUGCCGUCACGACUUUGAUGAAAAACGAUGGAAGCAUUUCUUAGCAGGAAAAAGUGGACUGUCGCAGUGAGUAUUUCCAUGCUUCAAGUCAAUAAAAUGUAUAUGUAUUGUUUACUAAUAGUGUAAAAAUUAGGCCAUCUCUGUAUAUUGAUGGAUUCUUUUUAAGAGGGGUGGAAGGUUUGAUG